GCCUUCGUGGUGUAAUUAGCAGCCUACUCGACUCGCAUUCUAGAAGUCCAGGGUUAAAGUCCCGGCGAGGGCA
rnacentral:tRNA from 1 species